rnacentral:rRNA from 1 species
GACGAACGCUGGCGGCGUGCUUAACACAUGCAAGUCGAACGGAAAGGCCCUGCUUUUGUGGGGUGCUCGAGUGGCGAACGGGUGAGUAACACGUGAGUAACCUGCCCUUGACUUUGGGAUAACUUCAGGCGACUGGGGCUAAUACCGGAUAGGAGCUCCUGCUGCAUGGGGGGGGUUGGAAAGUUUCGGCGGUUGGGAAUGGACUCGCGGCUUAUCAGCUUGUUGGUGGGGUAGUGGCCUACCACGGCUUUGACGGGUAGCCGGCCUGGGAGGGUGACCGGCCCCAUUGUGCCUCAGGUGCGGCCCGGGCGCAAUCGGGGGCCAGCGGUGGGGACUUUUGCCCACCGGGCGGAGGCUGGGUGGAGCAACGCCGCGUGGGGGAGCACGGCCUUCGGGUGGGAAACGCCUUUCGCUUGUACCGAACCGUGAUUGCCGUUACUGGAUAAAGAGGCCCCGCCAACCUCCUU